CUAUGCGCCUUGCCAGCCCGCUCAGGUGUGCCAGCCGCGCGGUAAUACGGAGGAUGCGAGCGUUAUCCGGAUUUAUUGGGUUUAAAGGGUGCGUAGGCGGAUUUUUAAGUCAGCGGUAAAAUGUCCGGGCUCAACCCGGGCCGGCCGUUGAAACUGGGGAUCUUGAGUGGGCGAGAAGUAUGCGGAAUGCGUGGUGUAGCGGUGAAAUGCAUAGAUAUCACGCAGAACUCCGAUUGCGAAGGCAGCAUACCGGCGCCCGACUGACGCUGAGGCACGAAAGCGUGGGGAUCGAACAGG
rnacentral:rRNA from 1 species